rnacentral:rRNA from 1 species
UACAGAGGUCUCAAGCGUUGUUCGGAUUCAUUGGGCGUAAAGGGUGUGUAGGUGGCGCCGUAAGUCGGGUGUGAAAUUUCGGAGCUUAACUCCGAAACUGCAUUCGAUACUGCGGUGCUUGAGGACUGGGAGAGGAGACUGGAAUUCAUGGUGUAGCAGUGAAAUGCCUAGAGAUCAUGAGGAAGACCAGUGGCGAAGGCGGGGUCUCUGGACAGUUCCUGACACUGAGACACGAAGGCCAGGGGAGCAAACGGGG